AUGUGUACUCGUAAGUAUGAGGGUGGCCUAGGCUUCCGGGAUCCGGAGGCUUUCAACCAAGCAAUGCUAGCCAAGGCAGCUUGGCGACUGCUACGGGUGCCAGACUCGUUGCGUGGAAGGGUACUGAAGGCACGACACUUCCCGGAUGGAUCAAUUCUGAAUGCUACAUGCCCCACUGGGGGUUCGUACACCUUCCGAAGCAUAUUGCAUGGC
rnacentral:rRNA from 1 species